rnacentral:tRNA from 1 species
GCCGUGGCCUACUGGUUAGCGCUUCGGACUUGUAACCGGAGGGUUGCCGGUUCAAGCCCCGACCAGUAGGCA